GAUGAAGAACGUAGCGAAAUGCGAUAAGUAAUGUGAGUUGCAGAAUUCAGUGAAUCAUCGAAUCUUUGAACGCACAUUGCGCCCAUUAGUAUUCUAGUGGGCAUGCCUGUUCGAGCGUCAUUAAGUCCACUUAAGCCCUGCUUAGUGUUGGGAGACUGCUCCAGCGGUGCUACCCUGUAGCUACCCUGCAGCUCCUCAAAGACAGCGGCGGAGUUGUGGUAUCCUCUGAGCUUAGUAACUUGUUCUAGCUUUCGAGUACACCACUUCCCCUGCCGUAAAACCCUUAAUUUUUAAUGGUUGACCUCGGAUCAGGUAGGAAUACCCGCUGAACUUAAGCAUAUCAAUAAGCGGAGGA
rnacentral:misc_RNA from 1 species